rnacentral:rRNA from 1 species
CCUACGGGAGGCAGCAGUGGGGAAUAUUGGACAAUGGGGGGAACCCUGAUCCAGCCAUGCCGCGUGUGUGAAGAAGGCCCUCGGGUUGUAAAGCACUUUCAGUGAGGAAGAACGCCUGGUGGUUAAUACCCAUCAGGAAAGACAUCACUCACAGAAGAAGCACCGGCUAACUCCGUGCCAGCAGCCGCGGUAAUACGGAGGGUGCGAGCGUUAAUCGGAAUUACUGGGCGUAAAGCGCGCGUAGGUGGCUUGAUAAGCCGGUUGUGAAAGCCCCGGGCUCAACCUGGGAACGGCAUCCGGAACAGUCAAGCUAGAGUGCAGGAGAGGAAGGUAGAAUUCCCGGUGUAGCGGUGAAAUGCGUAGAGAUCGGGAGGAAUACCAGUGGCGAAGGCGGCCUUCUGGACUGACACUGACACUGAGGUGCGAAAGCGUGGGUAGCAAACAGGAUUAGAUACCCUGGUAGUC